ACGGAAGGCAGCAGUGGGGAAUCUUGCGCAAUGCGCGAAAGCGUGACGCAGCAACGCCGCGUGGGGGAAGAAGGCCUUCGGGUUGUAAACCCCUUUCAGGAGGGACGAAGCCCGGGCGGUGAAUAGCCGACCUGGGUGACGGUACCUCCAGAAGAAGCCCCGGCUAACUACGUGCCAGCAGCCGCGGUAAUACGUAGGGGGCAAGCGUUGUCCGGAAUCAUUGGGCGUAAAGCGCGUGUAGGCGGUCCGGUAAGUCCGCUGUGAAAGUCGGGGGCUCAACCCUCGGAUGCCGGUGGAUACUGUCGGGCUUGAGUACGGAAGAGGCGAGUGGAAUUCCUGGUGUAGCGGUGAAAUGCGCAGAUAUCAGGAGGAACACCAAUUGCGAAGGCAGCUCGCUGGGACGUUACUGACGCUGAGACGCGAAAGCGUGGGGAGCAAACAGGAUUAGAUACCCUGGUA
rnacentral:rRNA from 1 species